GCCUACGGGGCGCAGCAGUGAGGAAUAUUGGUCAAUGGUCGGGAGACUGAACCAGCCAAGCCGCGUGAGGGAUGAAGGUACAGAGUAUCGUAAACCUCUUUUGUCAGGGAACAAAGGCGGGGACGUGUCCCCGGAUGAGUGUACCUGAAGAAAAAGCAUCGGCUAACUCCGUGCCAGCAGCCGCGGUAAUACGGAGGAUGCGAGCGUUAUCCGGAUUUAUUGGGUUUAAAGGGUGCGCAGGCGGUCUGUUAAGUCAGCUGUCAAAGCCCGGGGCUCAAGCCCGGCCCGCCGUUGAAACUGGCAGU
rnacentral:rRNA from 1 species